AAGUGGAGCAAUCCAUGAGUAAAGUGGCGCACGGGUGAGUAACACGUGACUAACCUACCCUCGAGUGGGGAAUAACCUCGGGAAACCGGGGCUAACACCGCAUAAUAUCUACGGAUCAAAUGCGUAAGCAGCUUGAGGAGGGGGUCGCGGCUGAUUAGCUAGUUGGCGGGGUAAUGGCCCACCAAGGCAGUGAUCAGUAGCCGGCCUGAGAGGGCGCACGGCCACACUGGAACUGAAACACGGUCCAGACUCCUACGGGAGGCAGCAGUGGGGAAUUUUGCGCAAUGGGGGAAACCCUGACGCAGCAACGCCGCGUGGAGGAUGAAGCCCCUUGGG
rnacentral:rRNA from 1 species